GCAUAAUAAAUAGUUUUUUAAUUGAAAACUGGUAUGAAGGGUUGAAACUAAGAAGAUUGUUUCAUUUGAUUUAUUUUAAUUUAAAUUAAAAGUAAAAAUGCUUUUAUGGAUUUUUGGGACGAGAAGACCCUAGAAGCUUGAAAUUGGAGUAAUUUUUGAUUGGGGCAAUGAUUGAAGAGAAGAAUUUUUGAAUUUUAUGUAAAUAGAAUGUGUAAGUUACUCUAGGGAUAACAGCAUUAUUUAAUUAGCAAGUUCUUAUUAAUAAUUAAGUUUGUGACCUCGAUGUUGAAUUAAUU
rnacentral:rRNA from 1 species